GCAGUCGUGGCCGAGUGGUUAAGUCGAUGAACUAGAAAUCCAUUGGGGUCUCCCCGCACAGGUUCGAAUCCUGUCGACUGCG
rnacentral:tRNA from 1 species